rnacentral:rRNA from 1 species
GAUGAACGCUGGCGGCGUGCCUAAUACAUGCAAGUCGAGCGAACGGACGAGAAGCUUGCUUCUCUGAUGUUAGCGGCGGACGGGUGAGUAACACGUGGAUAACCUACCUAUAAGACUGGGAUAACUUCGGGAAACCGGAGCUAAUACCGGAUAAUAUUUUGAACCGCAUGGUUCAAAAGUGAAAGACGGUCUUGCUGUCACUUAUAGAUGGAUCCGCGCUGCAUUAGCUAGUUGGUAAGGUAACGGCUUACCAAGGCAACGAUGCAUAGCCGACCUGAGAGGGUGAUCGGCCACACUGGAACUGAGACACGGUCCAGACUCCUACGGGAGGCAGCAGUAGGGAAUCUUCCGCAAUGGGCGAAAGCCUGACGGAGCAACGCCGCGUGAGUGAUGAAGGUCUUCGGCUCGUAAAACUCUGUUAUUAGGGAAGAACAUAUGUGUAAGUAACUGUGCACAUCUUGACGGUACCUAAUCAGAAAGCCACGGCUAACUACGUG